rnacentral:rRNA from 1 species
UUGAACGCUGGCGGCAUGCCUUACACAUGCAAGUCGAACGGCAGCACGGGUGCUUGCACCUGGUGGCGAGUGGCGAACGGGUGAGUAAUACAUCGGAACAUGUCCUGUAGUGGGGGAUAGCCCGGCGAAAGCCGGAUUAAUACCGCAUACGAUCUACGGAUGAAAGCGGGGGACCUUCGGGCCUCGCGCUAUAGGGUUGGCCGAUGGCUGAUUAGCUAGUUGGUGGGGUAAAGGCCUACCAAGGCGACGAUCAGUAGCUGGUCUGAGAGGACGACCAGCCACACUGGGACUGAGACACGGCCCAGACUCCUACGGGAGGCAGCAGUGGGGAAUUUUGGACAAUGGGCGAAAGCCUGAUCCAGCAAUGCCGCGUGUGUGAAGAAGGCCUUCGGGUUGUAAAGCACUUUUGUCCGGAAAGAAAUCCUUGGCCCUAAUACGGGCGGGGGAUGACGGUACCGGAAGAAUAAGCACCGGCUAACUACGU